rnacentral:rRNA from 1 species
CAGUAGCCACGGUAAUACAGAGGGUGCGAGCGUUAAUCGGAUUUACUGGGCGUAAAGCGUGCGUAGGCGGCUUUUUAAGUCGGAUGUGAAAUCCCUGAGCUUAACUUAGGAAUUGCAUUCGAUACUGGGAAGCUAGAGUAUGGGAGAGGAUGGUAGAAUUCCAGGUGUAGCGGUGAAAUGCGUAGAGAUCUGGAGGAAUACCGAUGGCUAAGGCAGCCAUCUGGCCUAAUACUGACGCUGAGGUACGAAAGCAUGGGGAGCAAACAGGAUUAGAGACCCCUGUAGUCCCUGUCUCUUAUAC